UUAAAAGUCAGUUAAAUUAAGCUACUAAUUUUGGAGAUUAGAAAUAUAAUACAUUUUUUAAA
rnacentral:tRNA from 1 species